rnacentral:rRNA from 1 species
UCGAGAGGCUUCGGCAAUGGGGGAAACCCUGACCGAGCGACGCCGCGUGGAGGAUGAAGGCCCUUGGGUUGUAAACUCCUUUUGUUCGGGAAGAAGUGCGAUCAGGUGAAUAAUCUGGUCGUUUGACGGUACCGGACGAAUAAGCUCCGGCUAACUCCGUGCCAGCAGCCGCGGUAACACGGGGGGAGCAAGCGUUGUUCGGAAUCACUGGGCGUAAAGGGCGUGUAGGCGGUUUGGUAAGUGGGAUGUGAAAUGCUCCGGCUCACCCGGAGAGGUGCAUCCCAUACUGCUAGACUUGAGUACGGGAGAGGAUGGGGGAAUUCCUGGUGUAGCGGUGAAAUGCGUAGAUAUCAGGAGGAACACCGGUGGCGAAGGCGCCCAUCUGGCCCGAUACUGACGCUGAGGCGCGAAAGCUAGGGGAGCAAACGGGAUUAGAUACCCAGGUAGUCCCUGAGCGGGCUGGCAAGGCGCAU